rfam:Hordeum vulgare subsp. vulgare, WGS project CAJW01000000 data, contig: morex_contig_1576539
UUAUUGCGGUGAUGAAUUAUGAACAUUCGCAUGUCAGACUUCAGAGAUGCCUCUGGCUUCUAUGAGAUAACAUAUCAUAUUACUGAGCAAUAA